UGGGGAAUUUUGGACAAUGGGCGAAAGCCUGAUCCAGCAAUGCCGCGUGUGUGAAGAAGGCCUUCGGGUUGUAAAGCACUUUUGUCCGGAAAGAAAUCCUUGGCUCUAAUACAGUCGGGGGAUGACGGUACCGGAAAAAUAAGCACCGGCUAACUACGUGCCAGCAGCCGCGGUAAUACGUAGGGUGCAAGCGUUAAUCGGAAUUACUGGGCGUAAAGCGUGCGCAGGCGGUUUGCUAAGACCGAUGUGAAAUCCCCGGGCUCAACCUGGGAACUGCAUUGGUGACUGGCAGGCUAGAGUAUGGCAGAGGGGGGUAGAAUUCCACGUGUAGCAGUGAAAUGCGUAGAGAUGUGGAGGAAUACCGAUGGCGAAGGCAGCCCCCUGGGCCAAUACUGACGCUCAUGCACGAAAGCGUGGGGAGCAAACAGGAUUAGAUACCCCUGGUAGUCCACGCCCUAAACGAUGUCAACUAGUUGUUGGGGAUUCAUUUCCUUAGUAACGUAGCUAACGCGUGAAGUUGACCGCCUGGGGAGUACGGUCGCAAGAUUAAAACUCAAAUGAAUUGACGGGGUCAUAGCUGUUUCCU
rnacentral:rRNA from 1 species